UGGGCACACAAGCGGCGCUGGUCUUUUAUAACAUCAUCACAACUUUGUAAGACAUGCAGAAACUUGAUCCUACUAGCUUCUUCCUUACACAAGUGCUGCCAGCAAGAAUGCACACGAUACUUUCUCUCCCAAGACCAAUAUUCAUCCUCUGGAGAUGUGUCGAGAACAAGAUGGUACCACAUAGAAAGCUUUUCCAAGCAUGCCCUGAAUAAAGAUUCAAAACUUUCUUCUCCAAUCGGUUGAAGAAACCCCUCAGCACUCAACAGAAUGUUGAGCAUGUAUAGAUUCAAAUCAAGAUAUGGACGGAAAGCUCCCAUAUAGAGAAAAAACAUUUUUAACUGUUGGGGUAAAUAGUCAUAGCUUGGGAAAAGUACCUCUGAUAUUUGAUUAUAUGCAUCCACAAAGACUGAACUACGUUGCUUGAUGAGUACCUCAGUCCAGUAUUGUGGGGUCUUAUCGGCUUUUGAUAGGAGGUCAGCAACCGUGACUAUCAUAAGAGGAAGGCCUUCACAUUUCUUGGCAAUCUUCUCUCCCAGUUCCUCAAGUUGAGGAGGGAAACCCUCUUCACCAAAUACCUUCUCACCAAGUAAUUCCUUACUUUCUUCCUCAUUCAACAAGUGCAUUCUUCCGUACCCAUUCUCCGCGAAUAUAAUUUUUUUUCUACUUGUAAGUAAGAAUCGAAUCCUUCCAACAAUAUUCUCUUCUCCCAAGCAAUUUCUCAAGUGAUUUGUUGCUUGUAUCUCCCAAACAUCAUCCAAUACAAUGAGACAUUUCUUACCCUUCAAACAUUCUUUCAAGAUUCCAACUAAUUCUUCCUCAUCAACAUCAUCUUGGGUAAGCUGAUGGUAAGAGUUGGGAUCCACUUGAGCUAGAAUGCAUCGUAACAGUUCAUUGGAUUCACAUUUUCUGCCCACUCUGACCCAUGCUCGAAACUCAAAAUAUCUUCGAAUUGAUGGAUCUUCAAAAAUAUUCACAGCAAGAGUCGACUUUCCAACGCCCGCCAUCCCAAUAAUGGAAUAGGUUUCAUUGUUAUUUUCUUCAAGAAGAUACUUUCUCGCUUUCUCAAAAUGAUCAGAUGAUCCAACCAUCUUUGAAGUUCUCCUUCCAUCAAAAUCGAUUCUUGAGGAAAUAGGGUCGCCUUCUUCUUCAGGCAUAUUCUCCAUUUCAUUAGUGUAUUCCUCCUCCAUCAUCUUCAUCUUCUCGACGAAGCAAUCAACAUGGUGUUGCAGACUCUGCAGCUCUACAGGGAAUGACAAGCUGUCUCUCUCGCUUUCGAGUUGUGGAAGAAUCUGAUGUAAGACAUGGGAUUCGAGUAAAUCUUCAAAUUCCCAAACUGCCUCUUUGAUUCGUUCAUCCACACCAUUCACGUUCGUCCUGAUCUUGCUGCAGCUGGUGUCGUCCAAUUUUAGCAGAACAUUCUGCAAGCGAUCCAUCUCGUCAUAGGCAGGUUGCAAGAUUAGUGGAGAGUGGGAAUCGAGAGAAAUGCGAGACGAUUGUAGAAUACGCUGAAUCGUAUUCUUAAGAGAAGUCGCUGCACCAUAAGCAGCCAUAGCGAAAUUUUCAAGGCAGAAUCGCUGAGAAUUUCCCUCCAAUAUGAAGCUUAAAAUGAACUCUGAAAAUAACUAAAAAUCAGCUGAUAUAUGAAGCUUAAAAUGAAAUCUAAAAUAAACUAAAAUUAGUUGCAGUAUAAAGCUUAAAAUGAACUAAAAUCAGCUGCAAUAUGUAGCUUAAAAUGAACUAAAAUCAGCUGCUAUAUGAAGCUUAAAAUGAACUCUAAAAUCAGCUGCAGCGCGUCAAACCCAAUUAGCCUAACAAAGAAAGAAAGAGGAAUUUUAAUAAGCAAAUUGAGAUGAAACAUAUCUAAACUGUACCUCUAUGAGAGGAGAUUGGAGCGAGUCGGCGCGGCGGCAGCUGUGUUUGUUCGGUGUUUACGAGGUCGUCGGAAUAAGAUGAUGAAAAAGGGAAUAGGCGGCGCUGUGUGUUAGUGUUGGUGUUAUACUGUUAUUAGAGAAUAGAUUUAUCAUUUUAAGAACUAAAGUGUAAUUAAUUAAGAUGAAAAUAAAAUUAUUUCAAAAAAAAAAGAUGAAAAUAAAAUGGUUUAAAAAGGUGAGUGAGAGAAAUAAGUGGGUUGGGCCGUUCAUUAUUUUCAAUUGAGUUGGGCUUAAUUAACUAAGUUAUUGGGUUUGCCAACUAAAUAAAUAUGCUUCUUAUAAUUAAUUCAUUAAUUAAAAUAAAGGUUGCUUUUUUUUUUAUAAUUGUUGAUUUCGUAUUUUGGGUUUACAAUCAACUCACUUGUAAUUGAACUAUUGAACUAAUAUCGAUUAUUUUUUUUAUAAUUAAAAUAUCGAUUAGAUGUUGUUUCGGCUUGAUGUAAUGGCAAAGGAAGCCAAAAUUUAUCUCAAAUGCAAAAAACUUAAAACAAAUUAACAAUAGACAAUGGCCACUAUGAGACUCUCGAUUACAACUUAUAUACACAAUUCAACACUAAGUUUCAUGCUCAGUUGCAAAUGAAAGAUGAAGCUGAUCACAAAAGUCAUCAGAAAUUAAUUAAUUAUAUUGCCAGAAUUUGAAAAUGUAAAGCUAUUGAAAACACACAUCAACUUAUAACACACAAUAUCAAAACGAAGUGAAAUCAUGCAUAACAAGUAAUGCUUUCACACAAAUCCAACUUACAACAAUUUCUAUUACAAACAACAUACAUAAGUCACAACUCAUGUUUCAUAACACUCGAAAAAAUCCAAAGCAAGUUACAAUCCUUAAAUUCAGACGACAAUGUCGUAACACAAUCUAAAUUAUGGGAUAACGCGGCGUCUGAGCCCUUCAGCUCUCUCAUUUGCCUGAAAAUUUACAGAACUGUGAUUAUAACGAAGAUAUGACAUGAAUUGAUUUGGUUUGUAUGUGACAAAAGAGAAGAAGUAGGGAAGAAACAUUAAAGACUUGAUAUGUAUUGCAAAGUAGUAAGACUAACCUGUCACGCGAGUUGCAAAGUCCCUUGAGCUCAGAAAGAUGAACGAGUGGUAAGUUUAAAGGAAAACUUAUGCUUUAAUUGAUUGGCACAAGCCACACCUAAAGGAUUGCACUCCACUAAUUCAAUGGUCUUGAUACAAGACUGAUCAUCCGGUAAAUCGAGUUGCUGCAAUUUAUAGCAGUGCUUCAUGAUUAGUUUAAGAAGCCUCGGAAGGCUUCCACGUUGAGGUCUCCAUUGCACCAAAUCGGUGUCCCUAAUUUCAAGUUUAGUAAGUUUCAAAAAACUCCCCAGUUUUAUUUCCCAUUCUGGGCCUCGAAAUGCAUAGCAUUUUAAUUGGAGAACCGAGAGAUUUGGAAGCAGCGAACCAAUAUCAUUCAUGUACUUCCAAGGACAUCCCACCCCCCUCAAAUAUAACUCUGUGAGACUUGAUGGGAACAUUGAAAGAGGAAUAAAAGUAGGAAAGUCGCACUUUAUCACGGGAUUCUUGAUUUUAUAUCUAAGCACUUCCAAAUUCUGGAGUUUUGAUAUAUAACUCAAGGAACUCAAUGGGUUGGUUUCAUCAUCAUCAUAAGGAUUCAAAUCCACAACAAUGUCUAAAUGCGUUAAAUUAGGAAUUCUUUUGAGAACUUCCCUUGUACAACUGUUUGCACUCACACCAUAAAGUCCGCUGAGUUUGUUCAAGGUAGCAUCAUCAGAAUUAGGGGUUGGUAGGUCCCUUCCAAUUAUCACAAGAUGCUCUAGUUCUUGCAUGUCCCAAAUUUGCACAGGCAUAUAAAACUGAACUCCACGCUUUUUAAUGUACAUAUGUGGCCUGAUAAUCAAGAAUUGAAGGUGAAAAAGGUUGGAUAUGGAAGGAGGGAGCUCCCCGUUGCAUUUUAGGGAAAGGUACCGCAGACAAACAAGUUUUAAAAUUUCAAUUGGGAUAUGGUAAAAUCGAACUCUAAUAGCAUAUAGUACUCUAAGCAACUUGAAACCCAUGGCAUGUAUUGGGAUUGGAUAUGGGUGAUAAGGACUCAAACAAAGGAGAGAACGGACAGUGGAUGCACAAUCACUUUUUAUCGAAUCAUACACUUGUUUGAAGCAGAAUAAACUAUUCCAAUGGGCACACAAGCGGCGCUGGUCUUUUAUAACAUCAUCACAACUUUGUAAGACAUGCAAAAACUUGAUCCUACUAGCUUCUUCCUCACACACGUGCUGCCAACAAGAAUGCACGCGAUACUUUCUCGCCCAAAACCAAUAUUCAUCCUCAUGUGAUGUGUUGAGAACAAGAUGAUGAUGCAAAGAAAGACUGUCCAAGCAUACUAUGAAUAAAGGUUCGAAACUUUCUACUCCAAUCGGUUCAAGAAACCCCUCAGCGCUCAACAUAUCCAUGAGCGUGUCUAUAUUGAAAUCUUUAUAUUGAGGGGAAGCUCCCAUAUAGAGAAAAAACAUUUUUAAAUAUUGGGGUAGGUAGUCAUAGCUUGGGAAAAGUACCUCAGAUAUUUGAUUAAAUGCAUCCACGAAGACUGAACUACGUUGUUUAACGAGUACCUCAGUCCAGUAUUCCGGGGUCUUGUCAGCUUUUGAUAGGAGCUCUGCAACCGUGACUAUCAUAAGAGGAAGACCUUCACAUUUCUUGGCAAUCUUCUCUCCCAGUUCCUCAAGUUGAGGAGGGAAACCCUCUUCGCCAAACACUUUCUCACCAAGUAAUUCCUUACUUUCUUCUUCAUUCAAGAAGCGCACUUUUUCAAACCCACUCGUCGGAUCUCCUAUACUUUGUCUACUUGUAAGUAAGAAUCGAAUCCUUCCAACAAUAUUCUUAUCUUGGAAGCAAUUUGUCAAGCCAUAUGCUACUUUUGCGUCCCAAACAUCAUCCAACACAAUGAGACAUUUCUUAUCCUUCAAACUUUCUUUCAAGAUUCUAACUAAUUCUGCCUCAUAAUCAUCUCCUUGGGUAAGGUUUUGGUAAGCAUUGGAAUCCACUUGAGCUAGAACGUAUCGUAAUAGUUCAUUGGAUUCCCAUUUUCUACCCACUCUAACCCAUGCUCGAAACUCGAAAUGGCUCUGAGUUGAUGGAUCCUUAAAAAUAUGCCUAGCAAGAGUUGUCUUUCCCACGCCCGCCAUCCCCAUAAUCGAGUAAUUUUUAUCUUCAAGAAGAUCAUCUCUGGCUUUUUGAAAUUCAUCAGAUAAUCCAACCAUCUUUGGCUUGAUUCCACCAAAAUCGAUUCUUGAGGAAAUAGGCUCGCCUUCUUCUUCAGCCAUAUUCUCCAUUUCAAUGAUGUACUCUUCCUCCAUCAUCUUCACCGUCUCGACGAAGCAAUCAACGCGGUGUUGCAGACUCUGCAGAUCUACAGAGAAUGACAAGUUGUGUCUCUCGCUUUCGAGGUGUGGAAGAAUCUGAUGUAAGACAUGGGAUUCGAGUAAAUCUUCGAAUUCCCAAACUGCCUCUUUGAUUCGUUCAUCCAAAGCAUUCACCUUCGUCCUGAUCUUGCUGCAGCUCGUGUCGUCUAAUUUGAGCAGAACACUCUGCAAUCGAUCCAUCUCUUCGUAGGCAGGUAGUAAGAUUUGUGAAGGGUGGGAAACGAGAGAAAUGCGAGACGAUUGUAGAAUACGGUGAAUCGUAUUCUUGAGAGAAGUGGCUGCACCAUAAGCCGCCAUGACUUGAUUGAAAUAUGAUUGUGGUGGCGGUGGUGGUGGUGGUGGUGGAAGGUGUGAAGCGGGAGGAGUUGGCGACGGCGGUAGGUGGUGGUGAUGGAAGGAUAAGGAUUUUGAAGGAGGAAUUGUGAAAAUGAGAGCCUCUCCACAAAGUCAGCUCUUCACAACGCGGAAAUAUACGCUGCUUUGCUUUGAAAUUGAGGCCAUAUUCACAUCAUUGAUUAAAGAUGAUCUAUGGCCAUAUGUGGAUAAUCAAGAUUUGGAGAUUAAUCGAAAAGUUUGAAUAAGUAAUUAGUGUGGUUUGAGGGGAACGAUUUUUAAUAAAUGAUUUAACAUGAUUAAAUUUUUAUAAAUAUUGAAUAUGAAUAAAGUUUAAAAUAUAAAAAAUAAGUAAUAAUAAAAAAAAAACUACUCCAUCCGUCCACAAAAUUUAUGCUAUAAUUUCAUUUUUCGUUCGCCCAUAAAAAAUAUGUCACGUCCAUUUUAAUUAAUAUGGUCCACAUCACUUCACUCACAUUUAAAGUGAGAUUCAUACUCCACUGCUAACUUUCUCAUAUUUUAUUAAAACACGUGCCAAAAGCAAUGUGACAUAAAUUUCUUGGAUGGAGGAAGUAUGAUUUUUAUCAGGGAUGGCAACGGGGGGUCGUGGACGGAGGGAGUAUGAUUUUUAUCAGGGAUGGCAACCGAGGGGGGGGGGGUAUUGCUUUCCCAUCCCCAUACCCGCCUAAGAAAUUCAUCCCUGACCCCGCCUUCAUACCCGUUUAAAUCGGGGUGGGGAUUAUCCGAUGGGGGAAGAAUAUCCGUCGGGUACCCGCAAAAUUUAAAUUUAAAUUGAAGUUAAAAUUUGCUAAAAAAUUUAUUGUGAUUUUAAUUUCAAAUUUAAAUUUUUAUUAAAAAGUGAUGAGAAAGGUGGGAGAGUUAAAGAGAAACAAUGUCUCACAUUGAAAAAUGGAUGAAAAAGGGUGGGUGAAUUGUGUUAUAUAAAGGAGAGAAAAAAAUCUACAUGCAAUUAAAUAAUUAAAUUUUUAAAAUGUUAUAUAUCAUAAAUUUGAGUUUUAAUAUCAAUAUUAAUACUAAUAAAUUUUGUUAAUUAUAAAAAAUAAUUUAAAAUAUACUAAAUAGGAGUAUAUAUUAUUCGGGGCUGGUUCGGGGUGGGGAUCAAAAUACCUGGCCCCGCCCCGAACCCGAUUCGGGUUUAAUUUUUUAUACCCGUCCACGCCCCGACCCCGACCCGGAAAAUAUUGGCUCCGUCCCCGCCCAUUAGGAUCGGGUACAUGCGGAUACCCGAACCCGCGGGUAUAAUUGUCAUCCCUAAUUUUUAUGGACAAAAGAAAGUAGUAAUAAAACUAUAUUUUGAUGAACAUAAUUUAAUUAAAUCAUAAGCGGAUUAUUAGACUAUUCCAUGCCCCCAAUGGCAAAGUAAGCCAAACAUGAUCUCGAGUGCAACAAUUUCAAAAAGAUAUACAAUGAGCAAUGGCCACUAGCUCGAUUACAACUUACUAGCAAUAAUAGAUGUAAUAGUGGGACACGAUCGCACACAUAAAAUUGUGAGACAUUGGAUUUCAUCCGAAAGUCUCGAUAACGUAGUGAGUUUCAUCCUCAGUUGCAAAUGAUUCAUGAAUCGAGAAAGAUGCUAAUCGCAACUCAUGGCAUUGAAUCUUCGAAUCCAAAUGAUAAACAAAGCUCAUAAAUUUAUUAAAUUAGAGAUAUAUGCAAAAUCGACUGGAAAAUCAGUGGAAAAAUAGCCAAAUUACACACAAGCAGACCAACAAUUUUCUAAUCAAGAAAAAAGAGAAUAAAAAGGAGCACUCUGCAAACAUGAAUCUUGCUUUGUCACCAUGAUCAUAUUUCUGUGCUGCUUGCAAUAGAUUGGUUACACACAAAAUCUUGCAUAACAAGUAAUGCUUUCACACAAAUCAUAUCCAACUUACAACAAUUUCGAUUACAAACUUCAUACAUAAUUCAACAUUCAUGUUUCAUAAUCCUCAACAAAAUCUCAAGCAAAUCACAAUCCUUAAAUUCAUACGAUUAUGUGGUAAUACAGCAAUUGAAAUUAUGGGAUAACACAGCGUCUUCAGCUCUCUCAUUUACCUGAAAAUUGAUAGAUGGACAACCAACCUCAAACACUGACUAUAACAGAUGAAAAACACAUCAAAGAUUUAAAUUAAUCAAACCUAUUGUGACAUGAAUUCAUUUGGUUUGUCUGUGAAAAAUAGAAGAAGCAGGGAAGAAACAUUAAGACAUGAUAUGUAUUGCAGAGUAGUAAGACUAACCCGAUCAGGCAAGUUGCAAAGUCACUUGAGCUCAAAAAGAAGAAUCGAAGAUAAGUUCAAAGGAAAACUUGUCUUUUAAUUGAUUAGCACAGGCGACGGCUAAAGGAUUGCAGUCGACUAAUACAAUAGAUGUGAUCCAAGAGUGAUCAUACGGCCAAUCGAGUUGUUGUAAUUUGUAGCAGUGGUACAUGCUUAGGUUGUUAAGCUCUGGGAAGCUUCCACGUUGAGGUCUCCAUUGCACCAAAUCAGUGUCUUCAAUGUGAAGACUAGUAAGUUUCAAGAAACACCCCGAUUCUAUUUCCCACUCUGGGCCUCGAAAGGCAUAGCAUCCUAAUAUGAGAGCCUUGAGAUGUGGCAGCAUCGAACCAAUGUCAUUCAUGUACUUCCAAGGAUACCCCCCAAAACCACUCAAAUGUAACAAUCUGAGACUUGAUGGAAACAUUGAAAGAGGAAUAGUAUUAAACUCAUACUUUAUCUCGGGAUUCCAGAUCCUAUAGUUUAAUGCGACCAAAUACUGGAGUUGUGAUAUAUAACUUAAGCAACUUAAUGAGUUGCUUUCAUCAUCAUCAUAGGGAUUCAAAUCCACAUCAAUUCCUAUAUGCGUUAAAUUAGGAAUUCUUUCGAGAACUUCCCUUGUACAACUCUUUGCACUCACACCAAAAAGUUUGAUGAGUUUGUUCAAGCUAGCAUCAGAGUUAGGGGUUGGUAGGUCCCUUCCCAAGAUCUCAAGAUACUGUAGUUCUUGCAUGUCCCAAAUUUGCACAGGCAUAUAUGACUGAACUCCACGCUUUUUAAUGUUCAUAUGUCUACCAAUCAUCAAGAAUUGAAGGUGAAAAAGGUUGGAUAUGGAGGCAGGGAGCUCUCCAUUGCAAGUUAUGGUAAGGUAUUGGAGACAAACUAGUUUUAAAAUUUCAAUUGGCAUAUGGUAAUAUCGGACAUUAAGAGCAUAUAGUACCCUGAGCAACUUGAAAUCCAUGCCAUGUAUUGGUAUUGGAUAUGGGUGAUAAGGACCAUAACAAAGGAGAGAACGAGCAGUGGAUGCACAAUCACUUCUUAUCGAAUCAUACACUUGUUUGAAGCAGAAUAAACUGGUCCAAUGGGCACACAAUCGGCGCUGGUCUUUUGUAACAUCAUCACAACUUUGUAAGACAUGCAGAAACUUGAUCCUACUAGCUUCUUCCUUACACAAGUGCUGCCAGCAAGAAUGCACACGAUACCUUUUUAACUGAUAACAAAUAAUCUGAUCUGCAGAGAACAAGAUGAUACCACAUAGAAAGAUUUUCCAACCAUGUCUCGGAAAAAUCUUCAAAACUUUCUUCUCCAAUCGGUUCAAGAAACUCCUCAGCACUCAACAGAUUAUUGAUCAUGAUUGGACGAAUAUCAACAUAUGGACGGAAAGCUCCCAUAUAGAGAAAAAACAUUUUUAACUGUUGAGGUAAGUAAUCAUAACUUGGGAAAAGUACCUCUGAUAUUUGAUUAUAUGCUUCCACGAAGACUGAACUACGUCGUUUGAGUACCUCAGUCCAGUAUUCUGGGGUCUUGUCGGCUUCCGAUAGGAGCUCUGCAACCGUGACUAUCAUAAGAGGAAGACCUUCACAUUUCUUGGCAAUCUUUUCUCCCAAUUCCUUAAGUCGAAGAGGAACACCCUCUUCACCAAACACUUUUUCACCAAGUAAUUCCCUACUUUCUUCCUCAUUCAACAAGCGUACUCUUUCGUACCCAUCCUCCGUGUAUACAAUUUCUUGUCUACUUGUAAGUAAGAAUCGAAUCCUUCCACCAAUAUUCUUUUCUUGCAAGCAACUUGUCAAGCGAUUUGUUACUUCUAUCUCCCAAACAUCAUCCAACACGACGAGACAUUUCUUAUCCUUCAAUCUCUCUUUCAAGAUUCCAACUAAUUCCUCAUCAUCAUCAUCUCCUUGGUUAAGCAUUUGGUACGCGUUGGGAUCCGCUUGAGCUAGAAUGCACCUCAAUAGUUCAUCGGAUUCGCACUUCCUGCCCACUUUGACCCAUGCUCGAAACUCAAAAUGGCUCCGAAUUGAUGGAUCUUCAAAAAUAUGCAAAGCAAGAGCUGUCUUUCCAACGCCCGCCAUCCCAAUAAGCGAAUAGCAAUUCUCGCUAUUUUCAUCAAGAAGAUAAUCUCUCGCUUUCUCAAAUUCAUCAGAUAAUCCAACCAUCUUUGACUUGAUCAUUCCACCAAAAUCAAUUCUUGAGGAAAUAGGCUCGCCUUCUUCUUCAGCCAUAUUCUCCAUUUCAAUGAGGUACUCCACCGUUAUCAUCCUCACCGUCAAGACAAAGCAAUAAACAUGGUGUAUCAGACUCUGCAGAUCUACAGAGAAAGACAAGCGAUCUCUCUCGCUUUCGAGGUGUGGAAGAAUCUGAUGUAAGACAUGGGAUUCGAGUAAAUCUUCAAAUUCCCAAACUGCCUCUUUGAUUCGUUCAUCCACAUCAUUCACCUUCGUCCUGAUCUUGCUGCAGCUGGUGUAAUCCAAUUGUAGCAGAACUUUCUGCAAUCGAUCCAUCUCUUCGUAGGCAGGUAGUAAGAUAUGCGGAGAGGGGGAAACAAGGAAAAGGCGAGAGGAUUGUAGAAUACGCUGAAUCGUAAUCUUGAGAGAAGUGGCUGCACCAUAAGCCGCCAUGACUUGGUUGAAAUAUGAUUGUGGUGGUGGUGGUGGUGUGGUGGUGGUGGAAGGUCUGCAACGGCGGUAGGUGGUGGAAGGAUAAGGAUUUGGAAGGUGCAAUUGAUAAAAUGAGAGUGGUUGAGCCUCUGCACAAAGUCAGCUCUACAC
rnacentral:lncRNA from 1 species